rfam:Varibaculum cambriense DORA_20 Q618_VCMC00001, whole genome shotgun sequence.
UCAGUCGGCCGGGCGGCCGCGGCUAGCGAUAGUCGAGGAAAGUCCGGGCUCCACAGGACAGGAUGAUGGCUAACAGCCACCCGGGGUGACCCGCGGGCUAGUGCCGCAGAAAAUAUACCGCCACGCCUCGCGUGGUAAGGGUGAAAAGGCGGUGUAAGAGACCACCAGUGGUCAAGGUGACUUGGCCAGCUAGGUAAACCCCAUCCGGAGCAAGACCAAGCAGCAAGUUGGGUGGUCCGCUUUUAACUUGCGGGUAGGUUGCUAAAGGCAUGCGGUAACGCAGGUCUCAGAUAGAUGGUCGCCGCUGGCUUAGCCAGUACAGAACCCGGCUUAUAGGCCGGCUGAUCUG